rnacentral:lncRNA from 1 species
CACCUGGCCAGAGAGCCUGCUACUCCUGCUCACACACACCCAUGAGCCUGGAGGUCUGGCCCCUGCUGCCCUGCAGGGCUGCUCACUUCCCACUGGGUUGUGGGGUUGCCAUCUUUACUGACUGGGGAUAACUAUCCUUUGUUACGGGAGAAGAAAGAAGGAAAGGGAGGUUGGGCUGACCGCUCAGCUCUUGGCCGUGCUCACCCCGAGGGUGGCGAGGAGACCACCCCAAAUACAGCUGGGGCACACCUGAGGCUGGGAUUCCCAGCUUUGACGCUGGAAAGGCUCAUCUUUCAGCUUGGCCAAAACUGAAAGUGCUGUGGUGAAAAGAUGGAGAAACAGCUGGCAGGAGCCAGCAGACCGCAGACCGUGAAAGAACCAGCCUGGAGGAGAAGUUGAGGGCAGAAGGAUUUCAGCAGCCAAAUCUAAUCUUCUUCUGAUGCCAAAUGCUCCUGUGGAAGCCACUUAGGUUGUGCAGCUCCUGAGAACUACUCCUGUUGGGAUGCCUCCCCAGCCUUCUGCUAGAGAGAGAGACGUUAAAACACAGACCUGGUAUCAAUGCUGCUCUGUCUCCUGGGAGCUACAGUCCAGGUAGUCCAAGCUCAUGACCAUCUUGUUCUUUUGCAGGCUCAGCACCCCAGCUGGACCACUGAUCCCACUGCGUGC